AGGAUGAACGCUGGCGGCGUGCCUAACACAUGCAAGUCGAACGUCCUGUCUCGCAAGAGGCAGGGAGUGGCGGACGGGUGAGUACCACGUGGGUUAUCUACCGUGAGGUGAGGAAUACCGGCGAGAAAUCGCCGACAAGACCGCAUAGCCUCGGUGCAAGCCGAGGAAAGCUUUCUCGAGAGAGGGAGCGCCACACGAGGAGCCUGCGCCCGAUUAGCUAGCUGGUGGAGUAACGGUUCACCAGGGCGACGAUCGGUAGCUGGUCUGAGAGGACGAUCAGCCACACUGGGAUUGAGAACGGCCCAGACUCCUACGGGGGGCAGCAGUGAGGAAUUUUCGUCAAUGGGGGCAACCCUGAACGAGCAACGCCGCGUGCAGGAAGAAGGUUUUCGGAUCGUAAACUGCUUUUCUCGGGGAAGAGAACGGACGGUACCCGAGGAAUCAGCCCGGCUAACUACGUGCCAGCAGCCGC
rnacentral:rRNA from 1 species